rnacentral:rRNA from 1 species
AGAGUUUUGAUCCUGGCUCAGGACGAACGCUGGCGGCGUGCUUAACACAUGCAAGUCGAACGGAAAGGCCCUGCUUUUGUGGGGUGCUCGAGUGGCGAACGGGUGAGUAACACGUGAGUAACCUGCCCUUGACUUUGGGAUAACUUCAGGAAACUGGGGCUAAUACCGGAUAGGAGCUCCUGCUGCAUGGUGGGGGUUGGAAAGUUUCGGCGGUUGGGGAUGGACUCGCGGCUUAUCAGCUUGUUGGUGGGGUAGUGGCUUACCAAGGCUUUGACGGGUAGCCGGCCUGAGAGGGUGACCGGCCACAUUGGGACUGAGAUACGGCCCAGACUCCUACGGGAGGCAGCAGUGGGGAAUAUUGCACAAUGGGCGGAAGCCUGAUGCAGCAACGCCUCGUGCGGGAUGACGGCCUUCGGGUUGUAAACCGCUUUCGCCUGUGACGAAGCUUGUAUGUGACGGUAUAGUGGGUAAAGAAGCACGCAGCUA